rnacentral:lncRNA from 1 species
GUUUCUGACACAGAGGUGACUGGGAUCAUCUGUUUCCCAGGCAACCGUCUCCUGGCAGUGGGAUGGACUCAACAGAUCGUCCAGUACACCAUCACAAACCCUAAUAAUGUGUACGUGAAAGCAGAUGUGUCGUGGAAGUCCGGGCGACAGCACAGAGACGACGUGCUGGCAGGGGCCCACUGUCCGCUGCGGAGGCUGCUGGCCACCGGGAGCUUCGAUGGGGAGGUGAUCGUCUGGACCCUGGACACAGAGAAACCACUGGCUAGGCUGCACAGUGCCCUGCCUGAAUGGGCUCCGGCCCCCGUGGACGGGCUGCUGUUCCUGCAGCGGAGGGCCCAGAGUGGGCAGUGGGCAUCUAGGCCUCUGCUGCUCAGCUCCCAGGCUGGCUACGUCUGCUGGUGGAGCAUCAGCGGACCCCCACACUGCCACGGGCAGUUUUAUGCGCCCCGGGGGCCUGGUGAGUGUGUGUUACGGCUCAG